rnacentral:rRNA from 1 species
GUCCACGCCGUAAACGUUGGGCACUAGGUGUGGGCCUCAACCAACGAGGUCCGUGCCGUCGCUAACGCAUUAAGUGCCCCGCCUGGGGAGUACGGCCGCAAGGCUAAAACUCAAAGGAAUUGACGGGGGCCCGCACAAGCAGCGGAGCGUGUUGCUUAAUUCGAUGCAACGCGAAGAACCUUACCUGGGCUUGACAUGUAGGGAAAAGCCGUAGAGAUACGGUGUCCUUCGGGCCUUACACAGGUGGUGCAUGGCUGUCGU